rnacentral:rRNA from 1 species
CAAUAGCGUAUAUUAAAGUUGUUGCAGUUAAAAAGCUCGUAGUUGGACCUUGGACCUGGACAGGCGGUCCGCCUCACGGCGAGUACUGUCUUGCUGGUCUUUCCUCUUGGUGAUCUGUUGUUUCGGCAGCAGGGAACCAGGACCUUUACUUUGAAAAAAUUAGAGUGUUCAAAGCAGGCUCGACGCCGGAAUAUAUUAGCAUGGAAUAAUAAAAUAGGACGUGCGGUUCUAUUUUGUUGGUUUUUGGAAUCGCCGUAAUGAUUAAUAGGGACAGUCGGGGGCAUUAGUACUCACAUGCUAGAGGUGAAAUUCUUGGAUUUUGUGAAGACUAACUUCUGCGAAAGCGUUUGCCAAGGAUGUUUUCAUUA